GACGAACGCUGGCGGCGUGCUUAACACAUGCAAGUCGAACGGUGAAGCGCCUUCCUUUUUGGUGGGUGUGGAUGAGUGGCGAACGGGUGAGUAACACGUGAGUAACCUGCCCCCUUCUUCUGGAUAACCGCAUGAAAGUGUGGCUAAUACGGGAUAUUCUGUGUCUGUCGCAUGAUGGGUCUGGGAAAGAUAUUGUUUCGGUGUGGGAUGGGCUCGCGGCCUAUCAGCUUGUUGGUGGGGUGAUGGCCUACCAAGGCGGUGACGGGUAGCCGGCCUGAGAGGGUGGACGGUCACACUGGGACUGAGACACGGCCCAGACUACUACGGGAGGCAGCAGUGGGGAAUAUUGGACAAUGGGCGCAAGCCUGAUGCAGCGACGCCGCGUGAGGGAUGGAGGCCUUCGGGUUGUGAACCUCUUUCGCCAGUGAAGCAGGCCUGCCUCGUUUGUGGGUGGGUUGACGGUAGCUGGAUAAGAAGCGCCGGCUAACUACGUG
rnacentral:rRNA from 1 species